UACGGGGGGAGCAAGCGUUGUUCGGAUUUACUGGGCGUAAAGGGCGCGUAGGCGGCCACCGCAAGUCGACUGUGAAAUCUCCGGGCUUAACCCGGAAAGGUCAGCCGAUACUGCAGGGCUAGAGUGCAGAAGGGGCAACUGGAAUUCUCGGUGUAGCGGUGAAAUGCGUAGAUAUCGAGAGGAACACCUGCGGCGAAGGCGGGUUGCUGGGCUGACACUGACGCUGAGGCGCGAAAGCGUGGGGAGCAAACAGG
rnacentral:rRNA from 1 species